rnacentral:rRNA from 1 species
GACGAACGCUGGCGGCGUGCCUAAUACAUGCAAGUCGAGCGCAGGAAGCCGUCCGAACCCUUCGGGGGGACGACGGUGGAAUGAGCGGCGGACGGGUGAGUAACACGUAAAGAACCUGCCCAUAGGUCUGGGAUAACCACGAGAAAUCGGGGCUAAUACCGGAUGUGUCAUCGGACCGCAUGGUCCGAUGAUGAAAGGCGCUUCGGCGUCGCCCAUGGAUGGCUUUGCGGUGCAUUAGCUAGUUGGUGGGGUAACGGCCCACCAAGGCGACGAUGCAUAGCCGACCUGAGAGGGUGAUCGGCCACACUGGGACUGAGACACGGCCCAGACUCCGACGGGAGGCAGCAGUAGGGAAUCUUCCACAAUGGACGAAAGUCUGAUGGAGCAACGCCGCGUGAACGAUGAAGGCUUUCGGGUCGUAAAGUUCUGUUGUAAGGGAAGAACAAGUGCCGCAGGCAAUGGCGGCACCUUGACGGUACCUUGCGAGAAAGCCACGGCUAACUACGUGCCAGCCGCCGCGGUAA